rnacentral:lncRNA from 1 species
GCCUGAUCUUUUGACCAGAAAGGGAUUAAAAAGUUGCCCAUCCUGAUGGCUGUGCCUGCCGGUUGCAUGGAGCCUCAUUCAGGAUUUCCUGAGCCUCUUGGAUUUACAGUGAUACUCAGCUGCGGGGAGUGGAGGAAGCAUUCUCUGGAAUCACAGACGGCACACGUCUGGAUGCUAAUGAUGGUUUUACGGAUGGCCCCGGCUGAGUGCUUGGCAGAUCCCUGCAGCCUGGAUGCCUGUGGGGUCAGAGGACCGCGGCUUCCUGGGACGGCGGAGGUCUCUGCCCUUAUCUUCAUGCAAAUGUUCAGUUGGGUUGCUGCUAGCCUCACUGAGGGCGCCCCGUGAAACAUGCUCCUCUUCAUCUGAGUGUACGCGUAGCUCACUGUGACAACAGCUCAGCUGCCCCCUGCGUGGCCCUCGCUGACUGCCAGCGCUGCCCACAGAUGGACCAACUUUCACAGCAGUGGUCAGAGGCAAAGGCGAUUUUGGAUCCCCCUGCUAUAGCUAAGGAGGCACAGAGAGGUCGAUCCGUUCGCCCGAAGUCACACAGCUCUUACACGGCAGCCUGGCUUCGUCGCCCGAGCUCUGGUCGGUAGGCAGAAUCCUGUCAUACCUCGGAUUUUGGUGCCUUCAGUCUGAAAAAUACACACAUCCAUUUGGUACCCUAGAGGAACUGGAGAAUUGUCUUCCCCUGAAUGAAGCUGGACCAUUCUGGGAUUUGGAGAAAGGGCACUGGCACCCUGGGAGCUGGAGAGAUGCAGCUGGAAGAGCCCGCGCCCGGGGCACGAGGGGUCCCAUGCCAUGUCACGGGCUUGUCCCCAGCUGCCACCGUGCUGAUGGCUUGGCCGCCACUGCUGCUUACUGAGCACACCCGCGUGGGCCCUCGCUGCUGUGCCUUCCGUCGAGGCUCCGGCUGUCUCAUCCCUGAGGGACCCCGGCAUCCCACCUACCCAGGCUCACCAAGACAGGGCCCAUCACCGGUCCUCCGCACUCCUGAGUGUCGCACAGAGCGGGGGUCAGGCCACCUUAGGUUGUUGGGCUAUGGUUUUUGCAGAGUCCUGAGCUCCUGUGAAGAUCUGCUUCUCUCCAGCCUUGGGCUAUCUGCAUUCUUGAACAUCUCCGGGCCCAGAAGGAAAAGAAGAAUGCUGAGCAGCUCAGGGAAUGGCUUGAAUGAAAAGAGGCUCUUCUGCCUGGAAGUCAAAUUCCUCCGUUGGAAAGACUCCAUUUGA